rnacentral:rRNA from 1 species
UAGCAAUAUUAAUAAGGCUAGACCGGCGCACGGGUGCGUAACACGUAUGCAACCUACCUUAUACUGGGGAAUAACUUCGAGAAAUCGGCGCUAAUACCCCAUAACAUUGCGAAAUGGCAUCAUUUUGCAAUUAAAGCUCCGGCGGUAUAAGAUGGGCAUGCGUCCAAUUAGCUAGUUGGUGAGGUAACUGCUCACCAAGGCUACGAUUGGUAGGGGUUCUGAGAGGAUGAUCCCCCACACUGGUACUGAGACACGGACCAGACUCCUACGGGAGGCAGCAGUGAGGAAUAUUGCGCAAUGGACGAAAGUCUGACGCAGCCAUGCCGCGUGCAGGAUGACGGCCCUAUGGGUUGUAAACUGCUUUUGUAUGGGAAUAAACCCUUCUACGUGUAGAAGGCUGAAGGUACCAUAAGAAUAAGCACCGGCUAACUCCGUGCCAGCAGCCGCGGUAAUACGGAGGGUGCAAGCGUUAUCCGGAUUUAUUGGGUUUAAAGGGUCCGUAGGCG